rnacentral:rRNA from 1 species
CAAGUACAGUGAUGGAAAGAUGAAAAGAACUCCGAAAGGAGAGUGAAAAAGGACGUGAAAUUGUUGAAAGGGAAGUGCUUGAGAUCAGUCUUAGGAUUCAGUGAUCAAUCUUCCUUUUGGUUGGUGCACUCACUGUUUUCUAGGCCAACAUCAGUUUUCGCGGCAGGAUAAUGUCCCAGGAAUGUGGCUCCCUCGGGAGUGUUAUAGCCUGGGUUGAUACUGCCAGCUUAGACUGAGGUCUGCGCUUUUUGCUAGGAUGUUGGCAUAAUGAUCUUAAUCAGCCCGUCUUGAAACACGGACCAAGGAGUCUAACAACUAUGCAAGUGUUUGGGUGUAAAACCCGUACGCGUAAUGAAAGUGAACGUAGAUGGGAACCUUUUGGUGCACCAUCGACCGAUCCUGAUGUCUUCGGAUGGAUUUGAGUAAGAGCAUAGCUGUUGGGACCCGAAAGAUGGUGAACUAUGCCUGAAUAGGGUGAAGCCAGAGGAAACUCUGGUGGAGGCUCGUAGCGAUUCUGACGUGCAAAUCGAUCGUCAAAUUUGGGUAUAGGGGCGAAAGACUAAUCGAACCAUCGGCGAAAAGCUACUAGGUGGUUAAGAGGGCCAUGAGUUGUGGUUCUAGUCCGAGGAAGUCGGGCAAGACUGUCAAAUUGCUGGAACACCCUAAAGACAAACGGUACUAAGCUGGACUGGAAACGGUUCGGUGGAGCAGGUAACUACUGCCGAGUGAAAAUCUGUUUGUAUGUAACAAUGGGCAAUCAGCAGCCAAGUCCUAAACCACGAAGUGGCAUGGAUGCAGUUCAGAGACUAAAUGGCAGCCGGUACCUAAUGGGUGCUUAAGAUAUAGUCCAAUCCCAGCUGAAAAGGUGGUCUGCAGACAAAGCGCACGCUCUAACUUCCAUACUUGGACGUGUGCCCGAAUCUGCAGGACUUGUGCGACGCAG